rnacentral:rRNA from 1 species
AUUGAACGCUGGCGGCAGGCCUAACACAUGCAAGUCGAACGGUAACAGGAAACAGCUUGCUGUUUCGCUGACGAGUGGCGGACGGGUGAGUAAUGUCUGGGAAACUGCCUGAUGGAGGGGGACAAAUACUGGAACCGGUAGCUAAUACCGCAUAACGGCCCAAGACCAAAGAGGGGGACCUUCGGGCCUCUUGCCAUCGGAUGUGCCCAGAUGGGAUUAGCUAGUAGGUGGGGUAACGGCUAACCUAGGCGACGAUCCCUAGCUGGUCUGAGAGGAUGACCAGCCACACUGGAACUGAGACACGGUCCAGACUCCUACGGGAGGCAGCAGUGGGGAAUAUUGCACAAUGGGCGCAAGCCUGAUGCAGCCAUGCCGCGUGUAUGAAGAAGGCCUUCGGGUUGUAAAGUACUUUCAGCGGGGAGGAAGGGAGUAAAGUUAAUACCUUUGCUCAUUGACGUUACCCGCAGAAGAAGCACCGGCUAACUCCGUGCCAGCCGCCGCCGUAA